GAUGAACGCUGGCGGCGUGCCUAAUACAUGCAAGUCGAGCGAACAGAUGAGGAGCUUGCUCCUCUGACGUUAGCGGCGGACGGGUGAGUAACACGUGGAUAACCUACCUAUAAGACUGGGAUAACUUCGGGAAACCGGAGCUAAUACCGGAUAAUAUAUUGAACCGCAUGGUUCAAUAGUGAAAGACGGUUUUGCUGUCACUUAUAGAUGGAUCCGCGCCGCAUUAGCUAGUUGGUAAGGUAACGGCUUACCAAGGCGACGAUGCGUAGCCGACCUGAGAGGGUGAUCGGCCACACUGGAACUGAGACACGGUCCAGACUCCUACGGGAGGCAGCAGUAGGGAAUCUUCCGCAAUGGGCGAAGGCCUGACGGAGCAACGCCGCGUGAGUGACGAAGGUCUUCGGAUCGUAAAACUCUGUUAUUAGGGAAGAACAAAUGUGUAAGUAACUAUGCACGUCUUGACGGUACCUAAUCAGAAAGCCACGGCUAACUACGUG
rnacentral:rRNA from 1 species